AUUGUACUCCCUCCGUCCGAAAAUACUUGUCAUCAACAUGGACAAAAAAUGAUGUAUCUAAAACUAAAAUACAUCUAGAUACAUCCCCUUUUAUUCAUUUUGAUGACAAGUAUUCCCGGACGGAGGGAGUAGCAU
rnacentral:pre_miRNA from 1 species